AACGAACGCAGGCGGCAUGCCUAACACAUGCAAGUCGAACGAGACCUUCGGGUCUAGUGGCGCACGGGUGCGUAACGCGUGGGAACCUGCCCUUAGGUUCGGAAUAACUCCCCGAAAGGGGUGCUAAUACCGGAUAAUGUCUUCGGACCAAAGAUUUAUCGCCUUUGGAUGGGCCCGCGUUGGAUUAGCUAGUUGGUAGGGUAAAAGCCUACCAAGGCGACGAUCCAUAGCUGGUCUGAGAGGAUGAUCAGCCACACUGGGACUGAGACACGGCCCAGACUCCUACGGGAGGCAGCAGUGGGGAAUAUUGGACAAUGGGCGAAAGCCUGAUCCAGCAAUGCCGCGGGAGUGAUGAAGGCCUUAGGGUUGUAAAGCUCUUUUACCCGGGAUGAUAAUGACAGUACCGGGAGAAUAAGCUCCGGCUAACUCCGU
rnacentral:rRNA from 1 species